GACGAACGCUGGCGGCGUGCCUAAUACAUGCAAGUCGAGCGAGUCUGCCUUGAAGAUCGGAGUGCUUGCACUCUGUGAAACAAGAUACAGGCUAGCGGCGGACGGGUGAGUAACACGUGGGUAACCUGCCCAAGAGAUCGGGAUAACACCUGGAAACAGAUGCUAAUACCGGAUAACAACAGAUGAUGCCUAUCAACUGUUUAAAAGGUGGUUCUGCUAUCACUCUUGGAUGGACCUGCGGUGCAUUAGCUAGUUGGUAGGGUAACGGCCUACCAAGGCGAUGAUGCAUAGCCGAGUUGAGAGACUGAUCGGCCACAUUGGGACUGAGACACGGCCCAAACUCCUACGGGAGGCAGCAGUAGGGAAUCUUCCACAAUGGACGCAAGUCUGAUGGAGCAACGCCGCGUGAGUGAAGAAGGGUUUCGGCUCGUAAAGCUCUGUUGUUGGUGAAGAAGGACAGGGGUAGUAACUGACCUUUGUUUGACGGUAAUCAAUUAGAAAGUCACGGCUAACUACGUG
rnacentral:rRNA from 1 species